AUUGAACGCUGGCGGCAUGCUUUACACAUGCAAGUCGAACGGUAACAGGUCUUCGGAUGCUGACGAGUGGCGAACGGGUGAGUAAUGCAUCGGAACGUGCCCAGUCGUGGGGGAUAACGCAGCGAAAGCUGUGCUAAUACCGCAUACGAUCUAUGGAUGAAAGCGGGGGACCGUAAGGCCUCGCGCGAUUGGAGCGGCCGAUGUCAGAUUAGCUAGUUGGUGGGGUAAAGGCCCACCAAGGCGACGAUCUGUAGCUGGUCUGAGAGGACGACCAGCCACACUGGGACUGAGACACGGCCCAGACUCCUACGGGAGGCAGCAGUGGGGAAUUUUGGACAAUGGGCGAAAGCCUGAUCCAGCCAUGCCGCGUGAGUGAAGAAGGCCUUCGGG
rnacentral:rRNA from 1 species